UUGAAUGUUCUACUAGUUCAACGCCUACUGUUGUGUGACUACAUAUAUCCCACAGCUAUCCGUGCCUGACUCCGAAUUCGAAGAAAAAUAUGAAACAAAUAUGGGGUCAGCAAUAUUCGACACGUUUACACCCCCCACUCCUACUAGGGUUGGGCUCCAUUGGAACUAUUUAGUUUUUUAAUAUUUCUACUGUUUCUAUGCCAAAAAAAGAGUGAAUCUUGAACGCCUGGAUUGAGUUCGUUGGCAUCUUUCGAUGUGAAGAUUGUUUAGCGUAUUAACAUACUAAAGAUAAGCCAUAGCCCAUAGCGCUUGUUUUAAGAACUAUU
rnacentral:lncRNA from 1 species